AUGGAACCACCGGAAGACGGAGAACUGGCGGCGCGUCUCCCUGCUGACGUGCUCGUCGAUGUGCUCCGUCGCGUGACGGGGCCGCGCUCGCUCGCCGUGUCGCGCUGCGUGUGCAAAGCGUGGCGGGCCAUCAUCGACGGCGAGGGACUCCUGCGCAGGCAGCUCCCGUUCAGCGGCAUCUUCAUCUGCUUCAGGAGGCUAUGUCUGCCCGAGUUCUUCUCGCGCCCCGCGUCCGCGGGUCAGCCUGCUAUCAGCGGCAAGCUCGAUUUUCUGCCCAGGGCCACUGAACUUCGCCCCCAUGGCAACUGCUACAUCGAGGAUCACUGUAAUGGACUCCUCUUGCUCCAAGGGACCUACAUCGAUGAUCACUACGUGCUUAACCCUGCCACGCGAUGGUGGAACACUCUGCCCUUAUGCCUGGACAAUCGUACCGGGGGAAUCGUCCGUGGUGAUUAUUAUCUGCCUUUGAUCCCACGGUGUCAUCCCACUACCAGGUGUUUCAGAUCCCUUCUUUGCGUUGGGGUAAAGAUGAGAUUGACCCUUUAG
rnacentral:rRNA from 1 species